GUAGGACUUGUAUCUAUGUCUACCUUUGACUGAUAUGAAGGUUCAGCAUCAACACGUGAUGUGCUGAGAACUGCAGACGAUGCACUUUCAGUGGAUCAUGAAGCUACAAGAGAAUUAGGGUCCGUAUCAGCCAUUUGCUUCGGCCAUUUACAAACACUGCAGGGUGACCACACUGAAAAAGUAAUGGACAUCAGAAGUUUGGCAGAAAGAUGCCCUGUAAAAGAGUAUCUGGUUGAUCAUGCAACUACAACAACACCCAUGAACAAAAUUGAUAUCCCAAGUAUGGCAUCCAUUGAAGCAUUGAGGACGCAUUCCAUUGAUGAGCUAGUUAAAGAAUUGAGAUCAGCGAGCAGAAUAAGGCGAGGCGAACUGGAACGGAAACAACCAUUUUCUGUACCACCACAAUUGCCAAGAAAUCCUCUCACACCCAUGAAUUUGGAAUAAAAUGGAUACUUUAAGACUUCAUUUCAUGUAGCCCAGAAUAAAAGUUGGAGAGAUGUUCAAGUUAAUGAUCAUUAUGUGCAUUGUCUGCCAGAGGGAUUAGAUUGUAUUGUUACUUUGUAAAACCAAGUCACCAACUUGGUGCGAUAGUGUGGUUAUUGUAAAAACGACGAAUGAAUUGAGGAAAAGAAUUGAGAAA